GACGAACGCUGGCGGCGUGCUUAACACAUGCGAGUCGAACGGAAAGGCCCUGCUUUUGUGGGGUGCUCGAGUGGCGAACGGGUGAGUAACACGUGAGUAACCUGCCCUUGACUUUGGGAUAACUUCAGGAAACUGGGGCUAAUACCGGAUAGGAGCUCCUGCUGCAUGGUGGGGGUUGGAAAGUUUCGGCGGUUGGGGAUGGACUCGCGGCUUAUCAGCUUGUUGGUGGGGUAGUGGCUUACCAAGGCCUUGACGGGUAGCCGGCCUGGGAGGGUGACCGGCCACAUUGGGACUGAGAUACGACCCAGACUCCUACGGGAGGCAGCGGUGGGGAAUAUUGCACAAUGGGCGGAAGCCUGAUGCAACAACGCCGCGUGCGGGAUGACGGCCUUCGGGUUGUAAACCGCUUUCGCCUGUGACGAAGCGUGAGUGACGGUAAUGGGUAAAGAAGCACCGGCUAACUACGUG
rnacentral:rRNA from 1 species